GGAGUUAGCCGGUGCUUCUUCUGCGAGUAACGUCACAGAUGUAAGGUAUUAACUUACACCCUUUCCUCCUCGCUGAAAGUGCUUUACAACCCGAAGGCCUUCUUCACACACGCGGCAUGGCUGCAUCAGGGUUUCCCCCAUUGUGCAAUAUUCCCCACUGCUGCCUCCCGUAGGAGUCUGGGCCGUGUCUCAGUCCCAGUGUGGCUGAUCAUCCUCUCAGACCAGCUAGGGAUCGUCUCCUAGGUGAGCCUUUACCUCACCUACUAGCUAAUCCCACCUGGGCUUAUCCAUCAGCGCAAGGCCCGAAGGUCCCCUGCUUUCCCCCGUAGGGCGUAUGCGGUAUUAGCAGUCGUUUCCAACUGUUAUCCCCCACAAAUGGGCAAAUUCCCAGGCAUUACUCACCCGUCCGCCGCUCGUCAUCUUCAAAAGCAAGCUUUUGAAAUGUUACCGCUCGACUUGCAUGUGUUAGGCCUGCCGCCAGCGUUCAAUCUGAGCCAGGAUCAAACUCUGA
rnacentral:rRNA from 1 species